UUUUUUGAUCGCAGUGACUUCUUUACGAGACCAAAGCUUAAGCUUUCUUAGCGAUGAUUUUAUGCCUAGUGUUCGCAUUCCUUUUUUGCAUUCCAACUGCAGAUUCAAUUUUAGGCCAAGCUGUUUGUGGAACUCGGUUAUACAAUCCUUCUUAUUCAAUCUGCUGCAAUGGAGAGGUAAAUGGGAAAGGCUUGAAUGCACGUUGCUGUGGAACUACAGCUUUUAAUCCUACUUUUAACCGUUGCUGCAAUGGAGUUAUUUGUUAGAUAUUGUUAUUGGCUUAUUCAAAUAAACCGUUUCAUUAUCUUAA